rnacentral:rRNA from 1 species
UACGUAGGGCGCAAGCGUUGUCCGGAAUUAUUGGGCGUAAAGAGCUCGUAGGCGGCUUGUCACGUCGGGUGUGAAAGCCCGGGGCUUAACCCCGGUCUGCAUUCGAUACGGGCUGGCUAGAGUGUGGUAGGGGAGAUCGGAAUUCCUGGUGUAGCGGUGAAAUGCGCAGAUAUCAGGAGGAACACCGGUGGCGAAGGCGGAUCUCUGGGCCAUUACUGACGCUGAGGAGCGAAAGCGUGGGGAGCGAACAGG